GCUUUCUUGGCACGGCCGGUGGAGGUGACGUGGUGGUGAGUGCGGGGACUCGACCUCAGGCACCUGGGCUGUUCUGCCGUCCUCCCUGGAGGCAGGGGAAGGGGAAGGCAAGACAGCAUGAGGACUGAUGGCAGGGGCUGCCUGGGAAUCCAGACCCACCCCUGCCUGCGGGAGCCCCCCCUCACACCAGCCCAGGCCGGGCAGCUGCUACGUGAAGAUUGAAUGGAGGUUUUUGCCUGGGAGGUGAGGACUGUGGCAGAAUCUACCACGGCCGCCCCACCGUGGCUCUGAGGCUUCUGGGAGGGAGACAGGUACUCCCCAAGGGCCCUUCCCACCGGAGGCCCACGCAUCCCAGCCACGCCCGUUUGCCACUGAAGAGCAGACUACAGGGACCGUGGGUGGUGCUGGCAGCGGAAUCCCACAGCCCCGGGGCCAGCGGGUACUUGCCCAGAGCACCGUCUCUCUCCUGCUGAGGAAAGGCCUUCCCUGGCCAAGGCGGCAGGCAAGGCUGACGAGGGCUGAGGCUGGUCCUGGGAGGGCACCUGAAUGUGGGCCUCUGCUAGUAUUUAACGGUGGGGAUGGCGGAGCUGGUGUCCACCUGCUAGAACCUGCCUGGGCCUCUGGUAGGGCACGUGUGGAUAACAGACCCCCCCACGGAGCCCUCCGGCUGCACUCCCUGCCUGCGCCACCCGGCAGGCACUGACCCACAGCAGAGGACGCAGUAGACAGGGACGUGGUCCAGGCCAUCACCUGCACCUGCUUGCCAGGGAACAUGCGCGCCCAGGAGCCCUGGCAGGACGCACGUAACUUCCAGUCCCAGGACACCGACGUCCACCUGGUGACAUUGCCCAAGUCAGCAGGGGCUCCUGCAUCCCUCGUUCAUUCCUCACAAGAUCCCUGGGAAAGAGGAUGUGUCUGUUACCUCCUGCCCUACGACUCAUCACGCCCAAACCGAGUGGCUUCGAACAGCAACCGUGGAUUAACCCGGGCCACGACCUGGGUCAGGAAUCCACACGAGGAUUUGCCGUGUGGCUUUGGCUCAGGCCUCUCGUGAGGAUGCAGGCAGGGCAUCCUGCCCGGGGCUACAGGAGCUGCUGGAGGUGGUGCACUCGCAUGGUGGCCCCUGGCACUGGCUGCCAGCCGGGAGCUCAGCUGGGGUGCGGGCGCUUGAGCUUCCUCGCAGCAUCGUCAGUUUCCCGGGAGCCACAUCUCCUGAGCACGGGAGCAGCGCCCAGCAUUCUUACCGUGGGGUGUCAGAAUCCACGUGGGGGCCAGGCACAGUGGCUCACGCCUGUAAUCCCAGCACUUUGGGAGGCCGAGGUGGGUGGAUCACUUGAGGUCAGGACCAGCCUGGCCAACAUGGUGAAACCCUGUCUCUACUAAAAAUACAAAUAAAAAUACAAAAAUUGGCCGGGUGCGGUGGCUCACGCCUGUAAUCCCAGCAUUUUGGGAGGCUGAGGCGGGUGGAUCA
rnacentral:lncRNA from 1 species